rnacentral:lncRNA from 1 species
GCAGGGUGAUGGAGACGUACGGCGCGAGCAGGUGGCGGUGGCAAAAGAGUUGAUGAGCGGCAGAAGGUAGGUGCGGUGCUAGGGUUAGGUGCAAUAGAGGCUAGGUUUUCUGAAAAUGUUUUAGUUUUGGGCUUGUUGGGCUUUUAAUUUUUUUUCUUUUUGGGCUGUAAUUUUAUUGUUUUGGGUUGGUAUUUGGGUCUAGGUAGGUUGUAAUGGGUAGGGGUUUAGGUUUGGGUUUUAAUUGGGUAUUGGGCCCUGGGUAAAUGGGCCUACAACACUUAGGCUUUGGCCAAGUUGUGGCUGGAUUAUGCCACGUUAAACUUAUAAGUUAUGCAUUGAAAUGGUAAGUGCCUAAAUGAAAAUAUGCGUG